AGGGUGCUACUGGGCAUGUCUGAACUUGCCCAGGUGUUAUUUAAGGACAGCUCGAACAUGGCCUGGGCCUUUUCCCAGACCAGGACACUAAGAUGCAGCCCAUAAUCGUAUUUAAACUGCAAGUCACUGUUGUCGGAAAAAAACCUCAUAUCUCCAAAUCUGACAACUUUACAAGAGAAGGAAAAAACAUACAUAACUUUUAAUGUCAGACCGGUUGGGUGAGGACAAGUCAUUCAAGGCCUGAAAGUCUGAUGUACAUCACUAACUGAACAUGAGCGUCAGCCUGAACAAUGGAAUGAAAGAAAUGGCAAAUGGCAGCAGCAACUGUUUACCAGCCUCUCAAUGUGAAACUGCUUCAAGUUCUCCAAAGAAAUUUGCAAGGAUAUUUUUCCACACCUUCAAACUUCAGUCUAAGAACUUGGUUGCAUUUUCUGCUUCUCACAAUCCAAGUAAUCCCAUUGAUGUCAGAGUUGGUUAAGCCAUUUUUCUGAGAACACCAGUAGCUUCUAUUAUUUGAUAAUUGUUUUAAUAUUCUCAGCAGUGUGCUUGGGAUCCUUAUCUUGAUGUAGAAAGUUUUUUCCAGAUUGUAUUGUAUGAUAGUUUGUUUGUACAUUGUAUUUUAUUAAAACAAAUAACCAACUCCAAAUGUUGUACAUCCCCAAACUUGUCCUGAUCUCCCACCAUGCUUGACUUGUGGUUGUAGAUGUAAAUAGAAGUGUUUUGUUGCUUUAUCAGCAUAUGUACUGCCUUCUGUUGCUUCCAUAUGUUUAAAAGUUAGACUCAUCAGUCCAUAAAACCUUUAUUGCAUUUCCUCUUUUUUAUCUCAGUAUAGAUCUUAUUGCAUAUGUUUGUAUAUUUCUAGGUGUAUAUAUGCCUGUGGAUAGGUUUUUGUGUAUAUUCUUCUCUCAGCCUGAUGACUGCUAUUUUCAGUUUGUCAGGGCAUCACUAGACAUUUAAGGAUGGGG
ensembl:lncRNA